ensembl:snRNA LOC120099391 U6 spliceosomal RNA
GUGCUCACUUCAGCAGUACACAUACUAAAAUUGGAAUGAUACAGAGAAGAUUAACAUGGCCCCUGGGCAAGGAUGACAUGUUAAUUCAUGAAGCAUUCCAUAUUUUA